UACCAGCACCCCGAGUGGUCGGGACGUUUAUUGGGCCUAAAGCAUCCGUAGCCGGUUCUACAAGUCUUCCGUUAAAUCCAACUGCUUAACAGGUGGGCUGCGGAAGAUACUAUAGAGCUAGGAGGCGGGAGAGGCAAGCGGUACUCGAUGGGUAGGGGUAAAACCCGUUGAUCCAUUGAAGACCACCAGUGGCGAAGGCGGCUUGCCAGAACGCGCUCGACGGUGAGGGAUGAAAGCUGGGGGAGCAAACGGG
rnacentral:rRNA from 1 species